CGAUAAUUGCAAGUACUAUGGUCACACCCGAGAAAAAUGUUAUCAUCUAGUUGGAAGACCCAAGGAUAAAAUACAAAAGAAAUAUUAGGGAAAGAAGAACCAACAAAAUACUGAAAAUUCAGAAGUUGCAAACCAAGUUACUUCUACAAACAAUCAACAACUAGUGCUUAGCCAAGAAGAAAUUCAGCUUUUCAAAGAAUUGAUUUCUUCAACAAAAGCAAGCAAUUCUGGUAAUAAUUUAUCUUUUUCAUUUAAUACUAUCUCUCAUAUUGAUAAAUGGAUAGUAGAUACGGGGGCAUCACAACACAUGACAGGUAGUAUGCAUCUCUUCACUAAGCCCUUAAUCAAAGAAUUUAACUAUUUUGUCACCAUACCUAGUGGCAAAACACUUAUUGUUAAGGGGAUAGGAUGCAUUAAAAUUUCAGAAAACCUAACCUUCAAAAAUGUAUUAUAUAUCCCUGAAUUUAAGGUUAAUCUAAUAACUAUAAGCAAAUUAACCUUAGACAAUGACAUUAAAAUCAUUUUUGAUGAUCAUUGUUUUGAGUUUCAGGAAAACAAAUCCGAGAGAAUGAUUGACUAGGGUGAAUCAAGCAAUGGGCUAUAUUUCUUCACCCCCAUCUCUUCCUAGCCAAUUCAUCCAUUGAUUUCAGAACUUGGCACCAUAGAUUAGGGCAUAUAUCUUCAGAAAAGAUGAAAAUUUUAGUCUCCAAGUACAGGAUUAAGUACAAAAACAAUAAAUAUGAUUGUAAUAGAA
rnacentral:lncRNA from 1 species